UCUCCCCUACCCACAUCGCAUCCCCCUUUUGCUAAUGUAUUCAUUAAUUUAAAGUAUCUUUUAAUGUAUUAAUAUUAUUUAUUAUAUUAUUGAAAAUCAAUCAGAAUCUGAUUUUUUUAAAAAUUUUAUUAAAAAAUUUAAAUAUGUUAUAUUGCAUAGAAUCGUAGACCCAUCUUUUGAUUAAUGUACAUAUUCUAUGGUAUU
rnacentral:lncRNA from 1 species